AUUGAACGCUGGCGGCAGGCCUAACACAUGCAAGUCGAGCGGUAGCACAGAGAGCUUGCUCUCGGGUGACGAGCGGCGGACGGGUGAGUAAUGUCUGGGAAACUGCCUGAUGGAGGGGGAUAACUACUGGAAACGGUAGCUAAUACCGCAUAACGUCGCAAGACCAAAGUGGGGGACCUUCGGGCCUCAUGCCAUCAGAUGUGCCCAGAUGGGAUUAGCUAGUUGGUGGGGUAACGGCCCACCAAGGCGACGAUACAUAGCCGGCCUGAGAGGGUGAUCGGCCACACUGGGACUGAGACACGGCCCAG
rnacentral:rRNA from 1 species